rnacentral:rRNA from 1 species
GAUUUCUGGCUUGAUACAUUUUGCCGGCCACGGUUUCGUGUGUUAGUGCUUGAUGUUCUGGCCAUCCUUCCAAUCGCUAUUUACCUUUCUUCAUUGAUUGGUAAGUGGUAUUGGAUCUUUUACUUUGAAAAAAUUAGAGUGUUUCAAGCAGGCUUUAUGCUAUGAAACCAGAGGUGAAAUUCUCGGAUUCGCUGAAGACUAACUUAUGCGAAAGCAUUCACCAAGGAUGUCUUCUUCUGUCUCUUAUACACA